rnacentral:rRNA from 1 species
CCUACGGGUGGCAGCAGUAGGGAAUCUUCCACAAUGGACGAAAGUCUGAUGGAGCAACGCCGCGUGAGUGAAGAAGGUUUUCGGAUCGUAAAACUCUGUUGUUGGAGAAGAACACGUUUGAGAGUAACUGUUCAGACGUUGACGGUAUCCAACCAGAAAGCCACGGCUAACUACGUGCCAGCAGCCGCGGUAAUACGUAGGUGGCAAGCGUUAUCCGGAUUUAUUGGGCGUAAAGCGAGCGCAGGCGGUUUCUUAAGUCU